UACGUAGGGUGCGAGCGUUAAUCGGAAUUACUGGGCGUAAAGCGUGCGCAGGCGGUUUUGUCAGCCAGGUGUGAAAGCCCCGGGCUCAACCUGGGAACUGCGUCCGAUACUGGCAGGCUUGAAUCCGGGAGAGGGAUGUGGAAUUCCAGGUGUAGCGGUGAAAUGCGUAGAUAUCUGGAGGAAUACCGGUGGCGAAGGCGGCAUCCUGGACCGGCAUUGACGCUGAGGAGCGAAAGCCAGGGGAGCAAACGGG
rnacentral:rRNA from 1 species